GCCGUCGAGGCCCCUGAGGAGGAGCGCCCGCCUCGUAUACGGGAGUGAGCAGGUUCGACUCCUGCCGUCGGCACCA
rnacentral:tRNA from 1 species